GCGCGAAAACUUUACCAUGCGGGCAACCGUGAUAAGGAAACCCCGAGUGCCAGCACAGGCUGGCUGUCCACCAGUGUAAAUAACUGGUGAAGAAAGGGCCGGGCAAGACCGGUGCCAGCCGCCGCGGUAAUACCGGCGGCUCGAGUGGUGGCCGCUAUUACUGGGCUUAAAGGGUCCGUAGCUGGAUAUACAAGUCCCUUGAGAAAUCCGCCGGCUUAACCGGUGGGCGUUCAGGGGAAACUGUAUUUCUAGGGACCGGGAGAGGUGAGAGGUACUGCCGGGGUAGGAGUGAAAUCCUGUAAUCCCGGUGGGACCACCUAUGGCGAAGGCAUCUCACCAGAACGGGUCCGACAGUGAGGGACGAAAGCUGGGGGAGCAAACCG
rnacentral:rRNA from 1 species